rnacentral:rRNA from 1 species
CGCCAGACUCCUACGGGAGGCAGCAGUGGGGAAUAUUGCACAAUGGGGGAAACCCUGAUGCAGCAACGCCGCGUGAGUGAAGAAGUAUUUCGGUAUGUAAAGCUCUAUCAGCAGGGAAGAAGAUGACGGUACCUGAUUAAGAAGCCCCGGCUAACUACGUGCCAGCAGCCGCGGUAAUACGUAGGGGGCAAGCGUUAUCCGGAUUUACUGGGUGUAAAGGGAGCGCAGACGGCAGUGCAAGUCUGGAGUGAAAGCCCGGGGCCCAACCCCGGAACUGCUCUGGAAACUGCCGGGCUAGAGUGCAGGAGGGGCAGGCGGAAUUCCUAGUGUAGCGGUGAAAUGCGUAGAUAUUAGGAGGAACACCAGUGGCGAAGGCGGCCUGCUGGACUGCAACUGACGUUGAGGCUCGAAGGCGUGGGGAGCAAACAGGAUUAGAUACCCUCGUAA